rfam:Camelus ferus unplaced genomic scaffold scaffold2401, whole genome shotgun sequence.
GAGGGUAUAGCUCAGGGGUAGAGUGCAUGUCUAGCAUGCGUGAGGUCCUGGGUUCAAUCCCCAGUACCUCCG